rnacentral:rRNA from 1 species
AACGGAUAUCUCAGCUCUCGCAUCGAUGAAGAACGUAGCGAAAUGCGAUACUUGGUGUGAAUUGCAGAAUCCCGUGAACCAUCGAGUCUUUGAACGCAAGUUGCGCCCAAAGCCAUUAGGCCGAGGGCACGUCUGCCUGGGUGUCACACA